rnacentral:rRNA from 1 species
UACAGAGGUCUCAAGCGUUUGUUCGGAUUCAUUGGGCGUAAAGGGUGCGUAGGUGGCGCGAUAAGUCGGGUGUGAAAUCUCGGAGCUUAACUCCGAAAUUGCAUUCGAUACUGCCGUGCUCGAGGACUGGAGAGGAGACUGGAAUUCAUGGUGUAGCAGUGAAAUGCGUAGAGAUCAUGAGGAAGACCAGUGGCGAAAGGCGGGGUCUCUGGACAGUUUCCUGACACUGAGGCACGAAAGGCCCAGGGGGAGCAAAACGGGG